rnacentral:rRNA from 1 species
UACCAGCACCCCGAGUGGUCUGCGCGAUUAUUGGGCGUAAAGGGCUCGUAGGCGGUUUGUCACGUCGGGAGUGAAAACUCGGGGCUUAACCCCGAGCCUGCGUCCGAUACGGGCUGACUAGAGGUAUGCAGGGGAGAACGGAAUUCCUGGUGUAGCGGUGAAAUGCGCAGAUAUCAGGAGGAACACCGGUGGCGAAGGCGGUUCUCUGGGCAUUACCUGACGCUGAGGAGCGAAAGUGUGGGGAGCGAACAGG